UGCCCAGCAGCAUCCACACACAGCUCUAAUCGAUCUUCUGCUGCGUUGUACACAAAGUUUUUACCAGGCAGAUGUGGAAAAGUACAGUGCUUGCCAUCAACCAAACCUGUGGUUUUCUUCAUUAUGCUGUAGAAUACUCCACCCUGCUGAAACAAUUGAGGAAGCCCCUUUGCAUACGACCAGACGUCUUCUCCCAUCAGUGUCGCUAGAAGACACAGAGAGUACAUCUCCUUAUCAAC
rnacentral:lncRNA from 1 species